rnacentral:rRNA from 1 species
AGCAGCCGCGGUAAUUCCAGCUCCAAUAGCGUAUAUUAAAGUUGUUGCAGUUAAAAAGCUCGUAGUUGGACUUUAGGCGAGGCGGCCUGGUCGCCCACUGGGUGUACUGGGCUCGCCGAGCCUCACCUUCGGGGAACUAGUCGUGCAUCCGUGCGCUAGGGAACCGAGCCUUACUUUGAAGAAAU